AACGCUAAGAAGCAACAAUCUGUCAUUGUACUCACGUUUCGCUUCAUUUUCAAACAGACAUCGUCAACACGCGCACCUCGAGAGUAAAAAUCGUUUAUUUUCUGUUGAUUUGUGCUAAAAUUUUUCGAUAAGUCCCCUCCAGUAGCGCUCACUUGUUCAACUCAGCGCGUUUUAAUGUAAGGUUUUUUUCGUCGAGGCCGCAGCGGGACGCGUGCGCACCUUGCAUUUCUUCCUCGACAAGUGCAGUAAAAGGAGAGUCCUUGGGCCCACUAUCGUGAAUCAUUAGCACCUACGCGCGCUUUUAACAGAAUGAUUGGUUGACACCGUAGUGCUUACCGGGACCGCAAUAGUGCAGCGCAAUUUACGAUAGGGUUGUCUUUUAACAAUUAUUAUGGAUUUUGUUAUAGUUAUGUAAUUAAUUUAAAAAAAAUGUCAAUUUUACUAUCUCUUUUAGUAUUAAUUAAAUCCAUGUACGACUAUUCGUUUUAAUGUUGUAAGUGUUAAUAAAGAAUUGAAUUGAAUUUGAAAAAUA